rnacentral:rRNA from 1 species
GCUUGUCUCAAAGAUUAAGCCAUGCAUGUCUAAGUAUAAACAAAUUUAUAGUGAAACUGCGAAUGGCUCAUUAUAUCAGUUAUAGUUUAUUUGGCGAUAAAAACUACUUGGAUAACCGUAGUAAUUCUAGAGCUAAUACAUGCAUCAUCCCCCAUCUCGGGGGAUGAUGCAUGUAUUAGAUACAAAACCAACCCGGGCAACCGGUCCUUUGGUGAUUCAUGAUAACUUUGCGAAUCGCAUAGCUUUAAUGCUGGCGAUGGGUCAUUCAAAUUUCUGCCCUAUCAACUUUCGACGGUAGGAUAGAGGCCUACUGUGGUGAUAACGGGUAACGAAGAAUAAGGGUUCGAUUUCGGAGAGGGAGCCUGAGAAACGGCUACCACAUCCAAGGAAGGCAGCAGG